GACGAACGCUGGCGGCGUGCUUAACACAUGCAAGUCGAACGGAAAGGCCCUGCUUUUGUGGGGUGCUCGAGUGGCGAAAGGGUGAGUAACACGUGAGUAACCUGCCCUUGACUUUGGGAUAACUUCAGGAAACUGGGGCUAAUACCGGAUAGGAGCUCCUGCUGCAUGGUGGGGGUUGGAAAGUUUAGGCGGUUGGGGAUGGACUCGCGGCUUAUCAGCAUGUUGGUGGGGUAGUGGCUUACCAAGGCUUUGACGGGUAGCCGGCCUGAGAGGGUGACCGGCCACAUUGGGACUGAGAUACGGCCCAGACUCCUACGGGAGGCAGUAGUGGGGGAUAUUGCACAAUGGGAGGAAGCCUGAUGCAGCAACGCCGCGUGCGGGAUGUCGGCCUUCGGGUUGUAACCCGCUUUCGCCUGUGACGAAGCGUGAGUGACGGUAAUGGGUAAAGAAGCACCGGCUAACUACGUG
rnacentral:rRNA from 1 species